AGAGUUUGAUCCUGGCUCAGAUUGAACGCUGGCGGAAUGCUUUACACAUGCAAGUCGAACGGUAGAGGGGGCAACCCCUCGAGAGUGGCGAACGGGUGAGUAAUAUAUCGGAACGUGCCCAGUCGUGGGGGAUAACGUAGCGAAAGUUACGCUAAUACCGCAUACGAUCUAAGGAUGAAAGCGGGGGAUCGCAAGACCUCGCGCGAUUGGAGCGGCCGAUAUCAGAUUAGGUAGUUGGUGGGGUAAAGGCUCACCAAGCCAACGAUCUGUAGCUGGUCUGAGAGGACGACCAGCCACACUGGAACUGAGACACGGUCCAGACUCCUACGGGAGGCAGCAGUGGGGAAUUUUGGACAAUGGACGCAAGUCUGAUCCAGCCAUUCCGCGUGCAGGAUGAAGGCCCUCGGGUUGUAAACUGCUUUUGUACGGAACGAAAAGGUCUCUAUUAAUACUAGGGGCUCAUGACGGUACCGUAAGAAUAAGCACCGGCUAACUACGUGCCAGCAGCCGCGGUAAUACGUAGGGUGCAAGCGUUAAUCGGAAUUACUGGGCGUAAAGCGUGCGCAGGCGGUUAUGUAAGACAGAGGUGAAAUCCCCGGG
rnacentral:rRNA from 1 species